GAAAUUCCUUGUCGGGUAAGUUCCGACCUGCACGAAUGGAGUAACGACUUCCCUACUGUCUCAACCAUGAACUCGGCGAAAUUGCAGUACGAGUAAAGAUGCUCGUUUCGCGCAGCAGGACGGAAAGACCCCGUGACCUUUACUAUAGUUUGGUAUUGGUGUUCGGUGUGGCUUGUGUAGGAUAGGUGGGAGACUGUGAAGUCAUCACGCUAGUGGUGGUGGAGUCGUUGUUGAAAUACCACUCUGGUCAUAUUGGAUGUCUAACUUCGGCCCAUGAUCUGGGUCAGGGACAGUGCCUGAUGGGUAGUUUAACUGGGGCGGUUGCCUCCUAAAGAGUAACGGAGGCGCCCAAAGGUUCCCUCAGCCUGGUUGGCAAUCAGGUGUUGAGUGUAAGUGCACAAGGGAGCUUGACUGUGAGACUGGCAGGUCGAGCAGGGACGAAAGUCGGGACUAGUGAUCCGGCGGUUCAUUGUGGAAUGGCCGUCGCUCAACGGAUAAAAGGUACCUCGGGGAUAACAGGCUGAUCUUGCCCAAGAGUCCAUAUCGACGGCAUGGUUUGGCACCUCGAUGUCGGCUCGUCGCAUCCUGGGGCUGGAGUUGGUCCCAAGGGUUGGGCUGUUCGCCCAUUAAAGCGGUACGCGAGCUGGGUUCAGAACGUCGUGAGACAGUUCGGUCGCUAUCCGCUGCGUGCGUUGGAGAAUUGUGGAGGCCUGUCCUUAGUACGAGAGGACCGGGACGGACGAACCUCUGGUAUGUCAGUUGUACCGCCAGGUGCAUGGCUGAUUGGCUACGUUCGGGAGAGAUAACCGCUGAAAGCAUCUAAGCGGGAAGCUUGCUUCGAGAUGAGUUCUCCUUGCCCUUUUGUUGGGUGUGAGGCUCCCUGUAGAUGACGGGGUUGAUAGGCCAGGUAUGGAAGCCGGGACUGAAGACUGGUGGAGUUGACUGGUACUAAUAGGCCGAAGACUUAUCUAC
rnacentral:rRNA from 1 species